GGUUAAGCGACUAAGCGUACACGGUGGAUGCCCUGGCAGUCAGAGGCGAUGAAGGACGUGCUAAUCUGCGAAAAGCGUCGGUAAGGUGAUAUGAACCGUUAUAACCGGCGAUGUCCGAAUGGGGAAACCCAGUGCAAUUCGUUGCACUAUCGUUAACUGAAUACAUAGGUUAACGAGGCGAACCGGGGGAACUGAAACAUCUAAGUACCCCGAGGAAAAGAAAUCAACCGAGAUUCCCCCAGUAGCGGCGAGCGAACGGGGAGCAGCCCAGAGUCUGAAUCAGCUUGUGUGUUAGUGGAACGGUCUGGAAAGUCCGACGGUACAGGGUGAUAGUCCCGUACACCAAAAUGCACAGGCUGUGAACUCGAAGAGUAGGGCGGGACACGUGGUAUCCUGUCUGAAUAUGGGGGGACCAUCCUCCAAGGCUAAAUACUCCUGACUGACCGAUAGUGAACCAGUACCGUGAGGGAAAGGCGAAAAGAACCCCGGCGAGGGGAGUGAAAAAGAACCUGAAACCGUGUACGUACAAGCAGUGGGAGCACCUUCGGGUGUGACUGCGUACCUUUUGUAUAAUGGGUCAGCGACUUAUAUUCUGUAGCAAGGUUAACCGUAUAGGGGAGCCGCAGGGAAACCGAGUCUUAACUGGGCGUUAAGUUGCAGGGUAUAGACCCGAAACCCGGUGAUCUAGCCAUGGGCAGGUUGAAGGUUGGGUAACACUAACUGGAGGACCGAACCGACUAAUGUUGAAAAAUUAGCGGAUGACUUGUGGCUGGGGGUGAAAGGCCAAUCAAACCGGGAGAUAGCUGGUUCUCCCCGAAAGCUAUUUAGGUAGCGCCUCGUGAACUCAUCUUCGGGGGUAGAGCACUGUUUCGGCUAGGGGGUCAUCCCGACUUACCAACCCGAUGCAAACUACGAAUACCGAAGAAUGUUAUCACGGGAGACACACGGCGGGUGCUAACGUCCGUCGUGAAGAGGGAAACAACCCAGACCGCCAGCUAAGGUCCCAAAGUCAUGGUUAAGUGGGAAACGAUGUGGGAAGGCACAGACAGCCAGGAUGUUGGCUUAGAAGCAGCCAUCAUUUAAAGAAAGCGUAAUAGCUCACUGGUCGAGUCGGCCUGCGCGGAAGAUGUAACGGGGCUAAACCAUGCACCGAAGCUGCGGCAGCGACACUAUGUGUUGUUGGGUAGGGGAGCGUUCUGUAAGCCUGCGAAGGUGACCUGUGAGGGUUGCUGGAGGUAUCAGAAGUGCGAAUGCUGACAUAAGUAACGAUAAAGCGGGUGAAAAGCCCGCUCGCCGGAAGACCAAGGGUUCCUGUCCAACGUUAAUCGGGGCAGGGUGAGUCGACCCCUAAGGCGAGGCCGAAAGGCGUAGUCGAUGGGAAACAGGUUAAUAUUCCUGUACUUGGUGUUACUGCGAAGGGGGGACGGAGAAGGCUAUGUUAGCCGGGCGACGGUUGUCCCGGUUUAAGCAUGUAGGCUGGUUAUCCAGGCAAAUCCGGAUAAUCAAGGCUGAGGUGUGAUGACGAGGCACUACGGUGCUGAAGUAACAAAUGCCCUGCUUCCAGGAAAAGCCUCUAAGCAUCAGGUAACAUCAAAUCGUACCCCAAACCGACACAGGUGGUCAGGUAGAGAAUACCAAGGCGCUUGAGAGAACUCGGGUGAAGGAACUAGGCAAAAUGGUGCCGUAACUUCGGGAGAAGGCACGCUGGUGUGUAGGUGAAGUCCCUGCGGAUGGAGCUGAGACCAGUCGAAGAUACCAGCUGGCUGCAACUGUUUAUUAAAAACACAGCACUGUGCAAACACGAAAGUGGACGUAUACGGUGUGACGCCUGCCCGGUGCCGGAAGGUUAAUUGAUGGGGUUAUCCGUAAGGAGAAGCUCUUGAUCGAAGCCCCGGUAAACGGCGGCCGUAACUAUAACGGUCCUAAGGUAGCGAAAUUCCUUGUCGGGUAAGUUCCGACCUGCACGAAUGGCGUAAUGAUGGCCAGGCUGUCUCCACCCGAGACUCAGUGAAAUUGAACUCGCUGUGAAGAUGCAGUGUACCCGCGGCAAGACGGAAAGACCCCGUGAACCUUUACUAUAGCUUGACACUGAACAUUGAGCCUUGAUGUGUAGGAUAGGUGGGAGGCUUUGAAGCGUGGACGCCAGUCUGCGUGGAGCCAACCUUGAAAUACCACCCUUUAAUGUUUGAUGUUCUAACGUUGGCCCCUUACCGGGGUUGCGGACAGUGUCUGGUGGGUAGUUUGACUGGGGCGGUCUCCUCCCAAAGCGUAACGGAGGAGCACGAAGGUUAGCUAAUCCUGGUCGGACAUCAGGAGGUUAGUGCAAUGGCAUAAGCUAGCUUGACUGCGAGCGUGACGGCGCGAGCAGGUGCGAAAGCAGGUCAUAGUGAUCCGGUGGUUCUGAAUGGAAGGGCCAUCGCUCAACGGAUAAAAGGUACUCCGGGGAUAACAGGCUGAUACCGCCCAAGAGUUCAUAUCGACGGCGGUGUUUGGCACCUCGAUGUCGGCUCAUCACAUCCUGGGGCUGAAGUAGGUCCCAAGGGUAUGGCUGUUCGCCAUUUAAAGUGGUACGCGAGCUGGGUUUAGAACGUCGUGAGACAGUUCGGUCCCUAUCUGCCGUGGGCGCUGGAGAAUUGAGGGGGGCUGCUCCUAGUACGAGAGGACCGGAGUGGACGCAUCACUGGUGUUCGGGUUGUCAUGCCAAUGGCACUGCCCGGUAGCUAAAUGCGGAAGAGAUAAGUGCUGAAAGCAUCUAAGCACGAAACUUGCCCCGAGAUGAGUUCUCCCUGAGACUUUAAGUCUCCUGAAGGAACGUUAAAGACGAUGACGUUGAUAGGCCGGGUGUGUAAGCGCAGCGAUGCGUUGAGCUAACCGGUACUAAUGAACCGUGAGGCUUAACCUU
rnacentral:rRNA from 1 species